rnacentral:rRNA from 1 species
GGUAGCUUGCGCUCCCCGGUCUCGAAGCCCCGACGAGUAGGAGGGUCGCAGCGGUGAGCGUCGAAGGGACUCCGGCGUGAGCCGGCCUGGAGCCGCCGCUGGUGCAGAUCUUGGUGGUAGUAGCAAAUACUCGAGAGAGACCCUAGAGGGCUGAUGUGGAGCAGGGUUCCAUGUGAACAUCAGUUGGACAUGGGUCAGUCGGUCCUAAGUCCAUGGCGAAGGCCAGUUCCUACCGUGCAGGCAAAUGUCAAAACGUGGUUGUGUUAGCGAGGGUUGGUGUUUUUGUUGUUGUGUUUCGUGGUUGCCCGUUUGUUUUGUCGCAGGCAGGCAGGCUGGGCGAGGCGAGGCACGGCACGAUCACACCAUCAUCCCUCCUCCUCACGUGUGCGCGAUAUGACCAAAGAAUACUCUUCUGGACGAAAGGGAUUCCGGUAAAUAUUCUGGAACUUGGCUUCGGAGAUGCUCGGUGCCCUAGGUCGGUUACGGCCGGCCUUGGGAGUCACACUGUGGCAUAAACCCCAGUAAUGGGAUCAAAGCCCGCAUCCGUCGGCGGUGGCCCAGGGAAGAGUUUUCUUUUCUGUUUAAGACAUCUUUAGCCCUGGAAGCAACUUGCUAGGAGAGAGGGCUGUGGUACAAGGUAUCAC